GACAGGGGAUGCAAGCGUUACUCGGAAUUACUGGGCGUAAAGCGUCUGCAGGCGUCCUGCCAAGUCUGGUGUAAAAGCACGGAGCUCAACUCCGUGUACGUGCCGGAAACUAGCGGGAUCGAGGAACUCAGAGGCAACUGGAAUGUCGUGUGUAGGGGUAAAAUCCGUAGAUCCACGAUGGAACGCCAAAAGCGAAGGCAGGUUGCUGGGAGUUUCCUGACGCUCAGAGACGAAAGCGUGGGGAGCAAAGGGG
rnacentral:rRNA from 1 species